ACCGGAAAUACCAGCAGAAACGAACAAAUCGAAAGUAGGAAGUUGAAUUUGUAUCACAGACAGUAAAAUGUAUAGCUUAAACUAGACCUAGCGGUGGGUUGCUGAUCUUCAAAUGAAUGAUUCUGUACUUUAUUUUUGAUUUUAUAUUUUCAUUCAUUUCCACGUGGUCCAGCAUGGCUGUGCAUGAAAUCCUCCUACAGUGUUUGGAUGAACUGGUCUCUGAGGAACUGGAUUUAUUUAAAUGGUACUUAACUGUAGGCAUAGACAGCUUCAAAAUUCCCAUAAGUCGAUUGGAGAAUAAAUCAAGGUGUGAGGUUGUGGGAUGUAUGAUUCAACAUUAUCUUUCUAAUGGUGCUGGGAAUCUCACUCUGCUCAUUUUGGAAAAGAUGAAGAAGAUGGAUCUUGCAGAAAAGCUGCGAAAGAAUCUAGGUCAUGGUAUGGAUACCCUGCAGUCCAAACAUAAUACUGAAGCUGGAACAUCACAGAAACAAGAGGGAUGCAAAUCAGGUGCUGAGUUUGUGGACAAGCACAGGACAGAGUUGAUCAGUGGGGUCUCACUGGUGGAGCCCAUUGCAGAUGACAUGAAACCUCUGAUUGGCGAUGCAAAAUACCAAAUCAUCUUAAAAUCAGAAACAACUCAGGAACAAAUGAGAAAGCUUCUGAACUUUUUG